GACGAACGCUGGCGGCGUGCUUAACACAUGCAAGUCGAACGGUGAAGCGCCUUCCUUUUUGGUGGGUGUGGAUGAGUGGCGAACGGGUGAGUAACACGUGAGUAACCUGCCCCCUUCUUCUGGAUAACCGCAUGAAAGUGUGGCUAAUACGGGAUAUUCUGGGUCUGUCGCAUGAUGGGUCUGGGAAAGAUAUUGUUUCGGUGGGGGAUGGGCUCGCGGCCUAUCAGCUUGUUGGUGGGGUGAUGGCCUACCAAGGCGGUGACGGGUAGCCGGCCUGAGAGGGUGGACGGUCACACUGGGACUGAGACACGGCCCAGACUCCUACGGGAGGCAGCAGUGGGGAAUAUUGCACAAUGGGCGCAAGCCUGAUGCAGCGACGCCGCGUGAGGGAUGGAGGCCUGCGGGUUGUGAACCUCUUUCGCCAGUGAAGCAGGCCUGCCUCGUUUGUGGGUGGGUUGACGGUAGCUGGAUAAGGAGCGCCGGCUAACUACGUG
rnacentral:rRNA from 1 species